rfam:Trichuris trichiura, WGS project CBXK01000000 data, contig: TTRE_1499
GGUUGACGGCUGCGCUUAGGCGACGUCAGCCGCGCCUUGGACCAGUCGGCCACGGGUGAAUUCUGUGACGUCCGCGUCAGUCACCCAUCGGACCCGUCUUGAAACACGGACCAAGGAGUGCAGCUUGCGCGCAAGUCAUUGACACGAGCGACUACGGUCAACGGCGAAACGAGAGUGCUUUGUGCGUGGCUGCUGUGCCUGCACCACGCUGAUCCUGUCACCGCUGCUGCCGGCGGUGGUGACGGGCGCACAGCGGUGCCGCUGGAUCCGUCGCCGCUGUUCCUGACCACGCGUCCGGAGCAGCGAACGGUCGGACCAGCGGACUCGGAGCGCGCACGCUGCUACCCGAAAGAUGGUGAACUAUGCAUGAGCAGGACGAAGCCAGAGGAAACUCUGGUGGAAGUUCGUAGCGGUGUUGACGUGCAAAUCACUCGCCCGACUUGUGCAUAGGGGCGAAAGACUAAUCGAACCAUUUAGUAGCUGGUUCCUUCCGAAGUUUCCCUCAGGAUAGCUGGCGUUCGCAUGCAGUUUUAUCCGGUAAAGCGAAUGAUCAGAGGUAUUGGGGACGCAAUGUCCUCAUCCUAUUCUCAAACUUUGAAUGGGUAAGAAGGCCGAUUUGCCUUGAGAAAUCGUGCCCAGCCGGAAUGCGUCGAACGGCUAGUGGGCUAGUUUUGGUAAGCAGAACUGACGAUGUGGGAUGAACCGAACGUCAGGUUACGGUGCCCAAUGUUCGGUGCUCAUCAGACACCAUGAAAGGUGUUGGUCGAUAUAGACAGCAGGACGGUGGCCAUGGAAGUUGGAAUCCGCCAAGGAGUGUGUAACAACUCACCUGCCGAAUCGACUAGCCCUGAAAAUGGAUGGCGCUCGAGCGCCGAGCCUGUACCUGACCGCCUGGGCAACGUUGUUGUCGGUCUCGCGCGUGCACUUGCUGCGGACGCUUGAAGGCCAAGGCGUGUAGGAAGAGGUCGCGACGGUGCGCGUUGAAGGUGUCGAGCGAGAGCUCGCCUGGAGCCGCCGUCGGUGCAGAUCUUGGUGGCAGUAGCAAUUAUUCAAGUGAGAACCUUGAAGGCCGAAGUGGAGAAGGGUUCCAUGUGAACAGCAAUUGCACAUGGGUCAGUCGAUCCUGAGAACGAGGCGAAAGCCCAAGCGCAACGGUGUGACGUCGUUCCUGACUUGUUCGCCGUAGCUAGCAGCACGCCGUACCGUUCGAAAGGGAAUCCGGUUGAAAUUCCGGAACCGAGACACGAAGAUGUACACCCGCGUCUCCGGUGGUCGCUUCCGCGGCCGCGGCGCCUCGUCGCCGCUGUCCGCUCGGUUUGCCCGACUGGAAGCACGCGGGACUGGUGCGCGCGGUAACGCCUCCGAACUCGGCGAGCAGCCGUCGGCAGUUCCGGAAAGAGUUUUCUUUUCUUCAUAAGGCACGCAGUCGCUGGAACCGGGUUGUCCGGAGAUAGCGACGAUGUCGCCGCAAAACGCCGCGUCUCCCGUGGCGUUCGGAACGCUCUCGACGGUCCGUGAAAAGCCGAGCUACGCCGUAUAAAUUCGUGCUCGCUCGUACCCAUAUCCGCAGCAGGUCUCCAAGGUGAACAGCCUCUGGCCAAUUGAACAAUGCAGAUAAGGGAAGUCGGCAAAACGGAUCCGUACCUUCGGAACAAGGAUUGGCUCUAAGGGCUGAACCGGUCGGGCUGAUGCUUCGAAGCGUGUUUGGUGCGGUCGCUGACUGCCGGUCCGAGGAGCUGCGCUUGCCCGGCGUCGCGUUCUCGCCGGCUGGGCGCGAGCGUGCGCGUGGCUUGUCCGCGCCGCGCCGUUGCUGCCGGACGUCUGCUACGCGUAGUCGAGGCGCUUCUUCUGAAGCCGCAGUCGGUAACGAAGCCUGCGCGCGGACGACUUCAGCUGUGUGCGCUUGUCCUGCUCGCGACAAGCCACUUCGUCCGGCAUUGAACAGCCGACUUAGAACUGGCACGGACACGAGGAAUCGGACUGUAUAAUUAAAACAAAGCAUUGCGACGGCCGGUGAUCGGUGUUGACGCAAUGUGAUUUCUGCCCAGUGCUCUGAAUGUCAAAGUGAAGAAAUUCAACCAAGCGCGGGUAAACGGCGGGAGUAACUAUGACUCUGUUGUAUACUCUCGCGCUACUGCUCAGUAAAGAAACAUCGCAGUGCCCACUUCAACUUGUGUUUCUUAAGAUAUCUAUUAGCCCGUUUCGACUGUUUUUUCAUAGGUAAACAGCCUAUCCAUUUAUUGGCUAGGGUUUUUGUACGAUUGCGCAGUCAUUGACAAAUAGAAAAGAUUCUCGAAUAGGUGUUGAAAGUUUUGUUGGAACGCUAUCAAACUGAUUAAAAAUCUGACUUCAGAGCCUCCGCGCAACAGUGGCUACGAAGCAAAGGAUUAACGGUGCUGCUAGUGAAGGUAGGCCAAGGGAAAGCGUGUAGCGCUUCCUGUAAGUGAGAGAGUAAAAAUUUUUAAUUUAAUCGGGAAGAAAAGUAACUUAUGGUUGCUAAAAUGAAUUGGAAGACUGAAUUUUCAAUUCAGGAAAUGGUAAGGAACGAAAAUUAAAUUCACUGUAGUUUCAAUGU